ACAUGGACAUUUAUGAAUCUUGUGAUGAACUUUCGGCAUAUGGAAUAACAGAACCGUCUUGGUAUUAUAUAAAACCUCAUAAAGCAUCAACGUCCCAGAGAGUAAAAUGUUUCGAAACUGAUGAAUCAUUUAUGCCAAUUUCUGUGCUGCCUAUUUUAGAUUCGUCACCACAUAUGUCUAACCACGAUGCCAUAAAAUCAAGAUUGAAAUGGCCAUAUGAGGAAGAAGACUCUUGGAAACCAUUAACAUUUAAUGGUAGUCAAUAUUUGACGUUUACCUAUCCAUUUGAUGUAAUCAUCACUGGAUUGGUUACCCAGG